GACGAACGCUGGCGGCGUGCUUAACACAUGCAAGUCGAACGGUGAAGCGCCUUCCUUUUUGGUGGGUGUGGAUGAGUGGCGAACGGGUGAGUAACACGUGAGUAACCUGCCCCCUUCUUCUGGAUAACCGCAUGAAAGUGUGGCUAAUACGGGAUAUUCUGGGUCUGUCGCAUGAUGGGUCUGGGAAAGAUAUUGUUUCGGUGGGGGAUGGGCUCGCGGCCUAUCAGCUUGUUGGUGGGGUGAUGGCCUACCAAGGCGGUGACGGGUAGCCGGCCUGAGAGGGUGGACGGUCACACUGGGACUGAGACACGGCCCAGACUCCUACGGGAGGCAGCAGUGGGGAAUAUUGCACAAUGGGCGCAAACCUGAUGCAGCGACGCCGCGUGAGGGAUGGAGGCCUUCGGGUUGUGAACCUCUUUCGCCAGUGAAGCAGGCCUGCCUCGUUUGUGGGUGGGUUGACGGUAGCUGGAGAAGAAGCGCCGGCUAACUACGUG
rnacentral:rRNA from 1 species